CAAUAGCGUAUAUUUAAGUUGUUGCAGUUAAAAAGCUCGUAGUUGGAUUUCGGUUAAGAGCGACCGGUCCGCCGUUUGGUGUGCACUGGUUGGUUUUAACUUCCUGUAGAGGACGUGCUCUGGGUUUAACGACCUGGACUCGGAGUCUACGUGGUUACUUUGAAAAAAUUAGAGUGUUCAAAGCGGGCUUACGCUUGAAUAUUUCAGCAUGGAAUAACACUAUAGGACUCCUGUCCUAUUUCGUUGGUCUCGGGACGGGAGUAAUGAUUAAGAGGAACAGUUGGGGGCAUUCGUAUUUCAUUGUCAGAGGUGAAAUUCUUGGAUUCAUGAAAGACGAACUUCUGCGAAAGCAUUUGCCAAGGAUGUUUUCAUUAA
rnacentral:rRNA from 1 species